rnacentral:rRNA from 1 species
AGAUUGGUCAAUGGGCGGGAGCCUGAACCAGCCAAGUCGCGUGAGGGAUUAAGGCCCUACGGGUCGUAAACCUCUUUUGCCGGGGAGCAGGGCAGCGGACGUGUCCGCCGUUUGAGAGUACCAGGAGAAAAAGCAACGGCUAACUGCGUGCCAGCAGCCGCGGUAAUACGGAGGAUGCGAGCGUUAUCCGGAUUUAUGGGGUUUAAAGGGUGCGUAGGCGGGCUUUUAAGUCAGCGGUAAAAAUUCGGGGCUCAACCCCGUCCGGCCGUUGAAACUGGGGGCCUUGAGUGGGCGAGAAGAAGGCGGAAUGCGUGGUGUAGCGGUGAAAUGCAUAGAUAUCACGCAGAACCCCGAUUGCGAAGGCAGCCUUCCGGCGCCCUACUGACGCUGUGGCACGAAAGUGCGGGGAUCGAACAGG